rnacentral:rRNA from 1 species
UACCGAGGGUGCGAGCGUUGUCCGGAAUCACUGGGCGUAAAGGGCGCGUAGGUGGCGCCGCAAGUCCAUGGUGAAAGCUCGAUGCUCAACAUCGAGUCGGCCGCGGAGACUGCGGGGCUCGAGCACUGUAGGGGCAGAUGGAAUUCCGGGUGUAGCGGUGGAAUGCGUAGAGAUCCGGAAGAACACCGGUGGCGAAGGCGGUCUGCUGGGCAGUUGCUGACACUGAGGCGCGACAGCGUGGGGAGCAAACAGG